GUAAAGGUGAUGGACUGGCCAAGCAUGUCUCCAGACCUUAACCCUAUUCAGCAUCUGUGGAGCAUUUUCAAACUGAAGGUGGAGGAGCGCAAAAUCUCUAACAUCCACCAGCUCCGUGAUGUCGUCAUGGAGGAGUGGAAGAGGACUCCUUUAAGCCUAUAAAAUCAGAGCAAUCUCUCCACUUGGCACUAGAAAUACCUGAUCAUAACAACAAUCAAGCCCUCCACUGCACUGAAGAACAACACAGACACAGCAGCAAUGGGAAGUAGUAGUAGCCACGUUGACAGCCACAAUGACAACAGUGGCAAGGGUAAUAACAUUGGGUCCAACAAUUCAAUCGGUGGCUCUGUUAACAUUGACCGUCAUGCUCAACCUAACUGUCAAUCUGGAGCAAACACUGCCGCACCCUGCAUCACCAUAGCGAACGCAACAAACUCCCCUAUUCGUCUCUACUACAAGCCGGGACUAAUGGAUAACAAAGACCUCAUAGACGGGAAUGAACUUAAGGAGGGCGAAUCCAUUCUCAUCUCGGCACACUCCCUUUACAAAACCCCCAUGUCUCAGAAUCUCUACGUCACUGGCUUUAAAGUAAAAAGCGACCAAACACAUUGCUGCCCUGAGAAAUCUCCAAUGUGUGGGCUAAAAAAUCGACUUGCAGAAUUUAAUGAUGGUAAUCCCAAGUCGUACAUCAUCACUGACAAACAAGAGGUGAAGUUCACCCUUAACGGAGAGAUCUGGGUGGAUGAGGAAGGGUUAGACCACACCCCCAAAAAGUAAAGUAAUGUAUUUUAACACACAUUGCACUUCCAGAUUCACACUAGGUGUAUACUUUAUUUUCUUUUCUUCUACCACUGAAUUUGCUAAUAGCUAGUUUGUUCAAAAAAAGUGUACUCAUUAUCGAUGUGUUGUGUGGUUGUCACACCUAGCUAUAUUAGGAUGAAUGCCUCCAUUGAAAGUUACUCUGGAAAAUUCUAAUAAAUAUUUGAAAACUAAACAUUUAGUAUGUGUCC
ensembl:lncRNA